rnacentral:rRNA from 1 species
AUGAACGCUGGCGGCGUGCCUAAUACAUGCAAGUCGAGCGAACAGAUAAGGAGCUUGCUCCUUUGAAGUUAGCGGCGGACGGGUGAGUAACACGUGGGUAACCUACCUAUAAGACUGGGAUAACUUCGGGAAACCGGAGCUAAUACCGGAUAACAUUUAGAACCGCCUGGUUCUAAAGUGAAAGAUGGUUUUGCUAUCACUUAUAGAUGGACCCGCGCCGUAUUAGCUAGUUGGUAAGGUAACGGCUUACCAAGGCGACGAUACGUAGCCGACCUGAGAGGGGGAUCAGCCACACUGGAACUGAGACACGGUCCAGACUCCUACGGGAGGCAGCAGUAGGGAAUCUUCCGCAAUGGGCGAAAGCCUGACGGAGCAACGCCGCGUGAGUGAUGAAGGGUUUCGGCUCGUAAAACUCUGUUAUUAGGGAAGAACAAAUGUGUAAGUAACUGUGCACAUCUUGACGGUACCUAAUCAGAAAGCCACGGCUAACUACGUG